UCCAUGGAAAUAGAUGACACUCUGCAAAAUUUGGAGUGAUGCUCUCAGUUCCAAAGCAUGUGGCCAUCAUCUCUUCUGGAGGCCUUUUCUUACAACUCCCUGUUCUGAAUUGUACAAGAAAAAUCAGAUACUUCAAUGGAUUCAGCCUUGACAUCUUCCAAGUCAGCAUCCUAAUAGCUGACAACAGAAAGAUAAAAACCAAGAAGCCCAUAUGAGAAGAAAUGUACUUUACACUCUCAUUCCAACAACAGAAGAGCCACAAAGAAUAAUGAAAUAUCUUGCUUAAUGGACCAAUCAA